UUCUGCGCGUGCGGUAAUUUUGUUUAAUUUCCACAAGGAUACUUGUAAUGAAUGAUCUGAGUUUGUUAAAAUGCAAGAGGAGGUACCAAUAGGACGUUGCUAUACUCAGCCACAUCUUUAUAGACUUUGUAACAAAGUCGCAUGUAUAUCAUGGAAACUAAAAUGUCCCUGUAAAGCAGUUUCGGGUUUCCGAUGCAUGAUAGGAAAUUGUAUCUCGAUUAGGUUUAAAUGUGAUGGCGUCAAGCAUUGCUUGUAUGGAGAAGAUGAACAAUUUUGUCAACAUGAGCAAAAAGCAGAAC